GAUGAACGCUGGCGGCGUGCCUAAUACAUGCAAGUCGAGCGAACGGACGAGAAGCUUGCUUCUCUGAUGUUAGCGGCGGACGGGUGAGUAACACGUGGAUAACCUACCUAUAAGACUGGGAUAACUUCGGGAAACCGGAGCUAAUACCGGAUGAUAUUUUGAACCGCAUGGUUCAAAAGUGAAAGACGGUCUUGCUGUCACUUAUAGAUGGAUCCGCGCUACAUUAGCUAGUUGGUAAGGUAACGGCUUACCAAGGCAACGAUGCAUAGCCGACCUGAGAGGGUGAUCGGCCACACUGGAACUGAGACACGGUCCAGACUCCUACGGGAGGCGGCAGUAGGGAAUCUUCCGCAAUGGGCGAAAGCCUGACGGAGCAACGCCGCGUGAGUGAUGAAGGUCUUCGGAUCGUAAAACUCUGUUAUUAGGGAAGAACAUAUGUGUAAGUAACUGUGCACAUCUUGACGGUACCUAAUCAGAAAGCCACGGCUAACUACGUG
rnacentral:rRNA from 1 species